rnacentral:misc_RNA from 1 species
UCCCCGUUGCCGGGGCAGUCUGAUUAGAAAAAUCCAACUAAUCACAAGGGUUGCGCUCGUUAAAGGACUUAACCUAACAUCUCACGACACGAGCUGACGACGGCCAUGCAACACCUGUCACUUGGUUCCCGAAGGCACAGUUUCCUUUCGGAAGCCUUCCAAGGAUGUCAAGCCUGGGUAAGGUUCUUCGCUUACCAUCGAAUUAAAGAACACGCUCCACCGCUUGUGCGGGUCCCCGUCAAUUCCUUUAUGUUUUAAGCUUGCGCUCGUACUCCACAGGCGGGAUGCUUAACGCGUUAGCUUCGCUACUACGGGGGUCGAUACCCAUAACAGCUAGCAUCCAUAGUUUACGGCGUGGACUAA